CAAUAGCGUAUAUUAAAGUUGUUGCGGUUAAAAAGCUCGUAGUUGGAGUUCUGCCAGGUGACGCUCGUCCGCCCAAGUGGUGUGUACAGGGCGUGCAUCUGGCCCUUUCAAGGGGAACGUGUCUGCACUUUACUGUGUGGUGCGAGAUCCUUGACUUUUACUUUGAGGAAAUCAGAGUGUUCCAAGCAGGCUCUCGUCGUGUAUAGCUCAGCAUGGAAUAAUAGCAUUGGACUUCGUUUCUAAGCUGUUGGUUGCAAGAAGCGAGGUAAUGAUGAAGAGGGAUAGUUGGGGGCAUUCGUAUUUAACUGUCAGAGGUGAGAUUCUUGGAUUUGUUAAAGACGGACUACUGCGAAAGCAUCUGCCAUGGAUGUUUUCAUUGA
rnacentral:rRNA from 1 species